GGCACUGGUGGUGGCACGCCCAUGCUUCUGGGCCGGGGUUCGAGUCCCCGCAGUACC
ensembl:sRNA predicted gene, 27702